UACGUAGGGGGCGAGCGUUGUCCGGAAUCAUUGGGCGUAAAGAGCGUGUAGGCGGCUUGGCAAGUCUGACGUGAAAGCCCGCGGCUCAACCGCGGAUUGUCGUUGGAAACUGCCUCGCUAGAGUCCGGAAGAGGAGAGCGGAAUUCCUGGUGUAGCGGUGGAAUGCGCAGAUAUCAGGAAGAACACCCGUGGCGAAGGCGGCUCUCUGGGACGGUACUGACGCUGAGGAGCGAAAGCGUGGGUAGCAAACAGG
rnacentral:rRNA from 1 species